rnacentral:sRNA from 1 species
AUCAGCAUCACCACCAUUACUACAACCAUCAUCAUUACCACAGGUAACGAUGCGGGCUGACGCGUACAGGAAAAACAAAAAAAGCCCGCACCUGAACAGUGCGGGCUUUUUUUU